CCAGGUUGAGUUAAUCUCUAUUGCUGAUAAUUGGAUAUUCAGGUCUUUGUCACAAGAUAUUUGCUGAUUUUGAGGUCUCUAUCACAAGGAUUAUAUAUAUUCAGUUCUAAGAAGUGAAUCUUUAACCAUCACGGAAGAACGAUGUCUAGAUUGAUCAUUUAUAGGUAAGCAUCAAACUACAAAAUGAUGUUCUUCACAAGUAUAAUAUAAUUUAUUGAGAUUUUUUUAAGAAUUUGAAACUUUUGUUGAAGUCACCUAACCA
rnacentral:lncRNA from 1 species